UACGUAGGGGGCGAGCGUUGUCCGGAUUUACUGGGCGUAAAACGCUUGUAGGCGGCCACGCCAAGUCGGACGUGAAAUCUCCCGGCUUAACUGGGAGGGGUCGUUCGAUACUGGCGGGCUCGAGGCAGGUAGGGGGGAAGCGGAAUUCCCGGUGUAGUGGUGGAAUGCGUAGAUAUCGGGGAGGAACACCAGUGGCGAAGGCGGCGACCUGGAUAGAUACUGACGCUGAGGUGCGAAAAGCG
rnacentral:rRNA from 1 species